rnacentral:rRNA from 1 species
AUGCCGGCGCUCUCCACCGGAGCACCGCGGCGAACAAGUAGACCAGGCCUCAUCCAGCCACCGCUGUGUCAACGCAGCAAGUCACACUUCAUGAGCUCCUCCACUAAAUUCGAUCGAUCCGUGGACGCCGCGUCCCCGUCCGACGACCAGGAGCAAGGGCUGCACCAAACAGUGUCGUCGGAUCCGCCGACGCGACCGGCGGGGCGCACCAAGCUCAAGGAGACGCUCCACCCGGUGUACCGUAGUGGCCUGGCCGGGGGAUGGCUGUGCGAGCUGCGCGUGCACGGGACGAAGGGUUCCAGGUUCUGGCACGGGCACGGCACCUUCGCCACCGCUGAGACGGCGGCGCGCGCGCUCGCGCUAUCAGGCUGCGACGCCUGCCUCAACUUUGCCGACUCCGCCUGUUGGAUGCUGCCCGUUCUCGCGGCCGGGUCGUUCGGCUUCAGCAGCGCACAUGUGUUCAAGGACGCCGUGGCCACCGCCGUCGUGGCAGUCCAGCGCAAGCAACCGCUGGUGUCUCCGGCGGACAUGGCCGACUAA